GGACUACUGGGGUAUCUAAUCCUGUUUGAUCCCCACGCUUUCGUGCCUCAGCGUCAAUAACUGUGUAGCGAGCUGCCUUCGCAAUUGGUAUUCUAUGUCAUAUCUAAGCAUUUCACCGCUACAUGACAUAUUCUGCUCACCUCCACAGCAUUCAAGAUAGAUAGUAUCAACGGCAGUUCCCAAGUUGAGCUCGGGGAUUUCACCACUGACUUACCUACCCGCCUACGCACCCUUUAAACCCAGUGAAUCCGGAUAACGCUUGCACCCUCCGUAUUACCGCGGCUGCUGGCAC
rnacentral:rRNA from 2 species